UACAGAGGGUGCGAGCGUUGUUCGGAAUUACUGGGCGUAAAGCGCGCGUAGGUGGUGUGUUAAGUCUGCCGGUCAAAUGCCGAGGCUCAACCUCGUUGCACGCCGGGGAUACUGGCACGCUAGAGACAAGUAGAGGCAAGCGGAAUUCCGGGUGUAGCGGUGGAAUGCGUAGAGAUCCGGAAGAACACCGGAGGCGAAGGCGGCUUGCUGGGCUUGGUCUGACGCUGAUGCUCGAAAGCUAGGGAGCAAACAGG
rnacentral:rRNA from 1 species